rnacentral:rRNA from 1 species
AAUGAACGCUGGCGGCAUGCCUAACACAUGCAAGUCGAACGAAGCCUUCGGGCUUAGUGGCGCACGGGUGCGUAACGCGUGGGAAUCUGCCCUUGGGUUCGGAAUAACAGUGGGAAACUACUGCUAAUACCGAAUGAUGUCGUAAGACCAAAGAUUUAUCGCCCAGGGAUGAGCCCGCGUAGGAUUAGCUAGUUGGUGUGGUAAAAGCGCACCAAGGCGACGAUCCUUAGCGGUCUGAGAGGAUGAUCAGCCACACUGGGACUGAGACACGGCCCAGACUCCUACGGGAGGCAGCAGUGGGGAAUAUUGGACAAUGGGCGAAAGCCUGAUCCAGCAAUGCCGCGUGAGUGAUGAAGGCCUUAGGGUUGUAAAGCUCUUUUACCCGGGAUGAUAAUGACAGUACCGGGAGAAUAAGCUCCGGCUAACUCCGUGCCAGCCGCCGCUGUAAC